UAGCGAAGGGCUGGAGGCAAACACCGAGCUCCCCCUGAGUCGCUUGGGAGCAGGGAGGGUUCUGCUACCCUGAGGGGCCCUCCCCGCGGGGCAGAGGGUGGGAGGAACUCACGGCAUGUACUUCUGAAUGUAUGCUUGCCUUGAGGAACAACGACAGGACACAGGGAUGUGGACAUUUUCAAUCAGAUGGUUCUGUCCGACAGUGUCGGCACACAGAGAGCGUUCCACUGACUGACCUCUUUUUGUUUUCAAAUGAAGAGAAGCCAAGAAUAGGACGGCCUAGGAAGGUGAGCUGCGUAUAACUCGUCAGACUGAGCUCAUCCUCGUCUAUGGCCAAAAGUUGGUUUCUCGUUUCUAGAAGAUGAAAGAUGUGAUGAUUUAGGAAAAAGCCAUUCUCUCUGCUUACUGCUUGCUGUUUGAGAUGUGCGUCUUCACACAUCCCUACCGACGUAUCUGACCGAUGCUGCCAAGAUUACCUGAUGGGAUGGACACUAAUACCUCUACAACCAGAAGCCCAAGUAAACUCUUCUAUAAGUUGAAUUAAUUACGCUUUUUUUUAAAAAAGAAAUCUUUAUUUUAUGUGCAUUGAUGUUUCGCCUACAUGUAUG